rnacentral:rRNA from 1 species
CCUACGGGUGGCAGCAGUCGAGAAUUUUCUCAAUGGGCGCAAGCCUGAAGGAGCGACGCCGCGUGGGGGAUGAAUGGCUUCGGCCCGUAAACCCCUGUCAUUUGUGAACAAACCUUUCAGGUUAACAGCCUGAAAGCUGAUAGUAGCAGAAGAGGAAGGGACGGCUAACUCUGUGCCAGCAGCCGCGGUAAUACAGAGGUCCCAAGCGUUGUUCGGAUUCACUGGGCGUAAAGGGUGCGUAGGUGGCCGGGAAAGUUCGGUGUGAAAGCUCCAAGCUCAACUUGGAAAUGUCAUUGAAAACUUCUCGGCUUGAGGAUUGAAAGGGAGACUGGAAUUCUCGGUGUAGCAGUGAAAUGCGUAGAUAUCGAGAGGAACACCGGUGGCGAAGGCGAGUCUCUGGGCAAUUCCUGACACUGAGGCACGAAAGCUGGGGGAGCAAACAGGAUUAGAUACCCUGGUAGUCCCAGCUGUAAACGGUGCACGUUUGCUGCGGGCGGAAUCGACCCCGUCCGUGGCGAAGCUAACGCGUUAAACGUGCCGCCUGGGAAGUACGGUCGCAAGAC